rnacentral:rRNA from 1 species
ACAACCCAACAGCGAAAUGCGAUACGUAGUGUGAAAAUUGCAGAAAUACGUGAAUCAUCGAAUCUUUGAACGCAAAUUGCGCUUGAGGCUUCGGCCAAGAGCAUGUCUGCCUCAGCGUC